AGCAGCCUGCUGAUCUAAGCAUCCAAUUCACUGUCCUUGACUUUUCACUCUCCAGUGUUCAUCUCUUGGCUUAUGACAUAUAUAUGCCAACAUGUGUUUGCUAAAGGUUCCAGGAAAUUAUGAUGAUAGUGACCACUUAUUGAAACUUACUACAAGGAGAAGAUGCCCUCGUCUGUGGUGGGAUGGGGCAGGAAGAAAGCCUCUGGGAUUGGAAGAGUAGAGGGAUCAAAAAGUUACCUGGAACAGUCAACCAUCUCUAGCCACCUGCUCUGCAUCCUAGUUUCAUUUUAAAAAUAUAUGGUGGUAUUCUCUGAAAAGAGGCAGCUGUUGUCGGUGGCCCCCAGGAAUAACUCUGUAAAUUACAAAGGAGACUCCAUUUUAACAGGCCUAUGUGGUCCCUUUUGU
rnacentral:lncRNA from 1 species